rnacentral:lncRNA from 1 species
UGCCUCAGCUGGGAGUCACGUCCUUUCCCCUUUCCGGUUCUACCCUCCUGAAAUGGAGGUAAGAUGGCAGAAGUCAGAGCAAGCACUGUGGGACCUUGGGAAAAAAAGUCAAGAGAAUCUCAGUUAUCUCAAGGACCAAAGCUAUUUGAAUCACAACUGGAAACUACCGAGGGAUUGUUCCUUCUCUGGGCUCCAGUGAAAGGCAGUGGUCAUCCUUGUCAUUCAAGAACAAGAGGGGACAACAGAGUGCCAAAAACAAGUGCUGCUUUUGGUGGAGAACAAAACUUCUGGUUUAAAAGAAGAUAAUAGAACAAUUAAGCUAUUUUUUUUUACUUACAUUGACCAGCUUGACAAGCAAAGAUCUUUUCUAGGAUGAAAAAAUGUGUCUUUGUUUUCACUUGUGUUAG